UGGGGAGUGGCCAAGUGGUACGGCAGCGGACUUUGGAUCCGCCAUCGCAGGUUCGAUCCCUGCCUCCCCAGCCA
rnacentral:tRNA from 1 species